CCGGCAACGCGAGGGACGGCGAACGCUUUCGAGCUCGCCGUCGACGCCCAAGGCGACCUUAAGCAGAUCCCUCCUCCGUCUUCGCCAAAUCAUCAUGCUAAAUGCUCCGAGAUAUACACAAUCCCUCAGGGUUUCAUCCAAUUUGAUCCUCUCCCUUGAUUCAAUAUCAUGUUGGACCCGUUUCUUGGAUUUCCUCGCGUCAUGGGUCGGUUGACGUCGGCCUCUCCGACGAAGAGAGCGAGCGCCGCCUUCAUAACAGGUUAUUGUGUAGGAGCAGGCAAAGGGGGUUCCUUGAAUUGGAUUUGGUAGUGGGGACAUGGGUAGGGGAGCACAUUCGUGCCUUGGAUCAGCUCCAUAUCAGAGCCCUCAUGGAUGUUCUUGACCUGGAAAGCCCAGAUCUGUGGAAGUGGCUUACUGCUAAGAGCAAGCACCAGAAGCAGUCAAGAACAAUCCUGUAUAGCAUUUCAAACAUAAAAAAUCUGUGUUUCCUUUUAGUAUUAUGUUUAUUUUCAUGUUUUAUAUUUUUCUAACUGUGUUCUGUGGGUAUUGUGUGUUAUCCACUCCAAGAUUAUGUCAAAUCUACACGGCUGCACCGGAGACCUGAGCAAAUCCUAGUCCUGCAGCUUAAUCUCUUGAGCUCGAUUAAUGUACCAUUUGUUCUUUCAAUAUAUUCUUUUCUACA